rnacentral:rRNA from 1 species
GGAGGGUGCAAGCGUUAUCCGGAUUUACUGGGUUUAAAGGGUGCGUAGGUGGGCAGGUAAGUCAGUGGUGAAAUCUCCGAGCUUAACUCGGAAACUGCCAUUGAUACUAUCUGUCUUGAAUAUCCUGGAGGUAAGCGGAAUAUGUCAUGUAGCGGUGAAAUGCUUAGAUAUGACAUAGAACACCAACUGCGAAGGCAGCUUACUACGGGAUUAUUGACACUGAGGCACGAAAGCGUGGGGAUCAAACAGGAUUAGAUACCCUGGUAGUCCACGCCCUAAACGAUGGAUACUCGACAUACGCGAUACACUGUGUGUGUCUGAGCGAAAGCAUUAAGUAUCCCACCUGGGAAGUACGAUCGCAAGACUG